UCGGGAUAACACCUGGAAACAAGAUGCUAAUACCGGAUAACAACAGAUGAUGCCUAUCAACUGUUUAAAAGAUGGUUCUGCUAUCACUCUUGGAUGGACCUGCGGUGCAUUAGCUAGUUGGUAGGGUAACGGCCUACCAAGGCGAUGAUGCAUAGCCGAGUUGAGAGACUGAUCGGCCACAUUGGGACUGAGACACGGCCCAAACUCCUACGGGAGGCAGCAGC
rnacentral:rRNA from 1 species